UACACACCGCCCGUCACACCACGAGAGUUUGUAACACCCUAAGUCGGUGGGGUAACCUUUUGGAGCCAGCCGCCUAAGGUGGGAUAGAUGAUUGGGGUGAAGUCGUAACAAGGUAGCCGUAUCGGAAGGUGCGGCUGGAUCACCUCCUUUCUAAGGAA
rnacentral:rRNA from 1 species